rfam:Schistosoma curassoni strain Dakar, Senegal genome assembly, scaffold: SCTD_scaffold0000339
AUCCAGCUGACGAGUCCCGAAUAGGAUGAAACGCGCUUCCUGGAU